rnacentral:rRNA from 1 species
AACGAACGCUGGCGGCAUGCCUAACACAUGCAAGUCGAACGAGACCUUCGGGUCUAGUUGCGCACGGUUUCGUAACGCGUUGGAACCUGCCCUUAGGUUCGGAAUAACUCCCCGUAAGGUGUGCUAAUACCGGUUAAUGUCUUCGGACCAAAGAUUUAUCGCCUUUGGUUGGGCCCGCGUUUGAUUAGAUUGUUGGUAGGGUAAAAGCCUACCAAGGCGACGAUCCAUAGCUGGUCUGAGAGGAUGAUAAGCCACACUGGGACUGAGACACGGCACAGACUAGUACGGGAGGGAGCAGAGGGGAAUAGUGGAAAAUGGGCGAAAGCAUGAAAAAGCAAUGACGCGAGAGUGAUGAAGGGAUUAGGGAAGUAAAGCAAAAUUAACCGGGAUGAUAAUGACAGUAACGGGAGAAUAAGCACCGGCUAACUACGUG